ACGUGUGCUCUUCAAAUCUCCUUGCUCUGCUUCUUCUGCAACCAUAUCUGACAAAUCUGAUAUGGCUGAGAUUGAGUAAUUUGAUAAGUCAAAAUUGAAACACAGGAAAAAAUUCAUUGCCUUCAAAAGAAACGACUGAACGAGAGAAGCAAUCAGGCAAAUCCUAUUGAGAUGUGUGCCACCAAUAUGCACUGUACAUUCCACAGGUAUGGACUUCUUUAUUUUAUUUUAUUUUAUUUUAUUUUAUUUUAU